rnacentral:rRNA from 1 species
UACGAAGGGUGCAAGCGUUAAUCGGAAUUACUGGGCGUAAGGGGUGCGUAGGCGGUUAGUUAAGUCUGUUGUGAAAUCCCCGGGCUCAACCUGGGAAUGGCAAUGGAUACUGGCUGGCUAGAGUGUGUCAGAGGAUGGUGGAAUUCCCGGUGUAGCGGUGAAAUGCGUAGAGAUCGGGAGGAACAUCAGUGGCGAAGGCGGCCAUCUGGGACAACACUGACGCUGAAGCACGAAAGCGUGGGGAGCGAACAGG